rnacentral:rRNA from 1 species
AUUGAACGCUGGCGGCAUGCUUUACACAUGCAAGUCGAACGGUAACAGGCCGCAAGGUGCUGACGAGUGGCGAACGGGUGCGUAAUGCAUCUGAACGUGCCCAGUCGUGGGGGAUAACUACUCGAAAGAGUAGCUAAUACCGCAUACGAUCUAUGGAUGAAAGCGGGGGACCGUAAGGCCUCGCGCGAUUGGAGCGGCCGAUGUCAGAUUAGGUAGUUGGUGGGGUAAAGGCUCACCAAGCCAACGAUCUGUAGCUGGUCUGAGAGGACGACCAGCCACACUGGGACUGAGACACGGCCCAGACUCCUACGGGAGGCAGCAGUGGGGAAUUUUGGACAAUGGGCGCAAGCCUGAUCCAGCAAUGCCGCGUGCAGGAAGAAGGCCUUCGGGUUGUAAACUGCUUUUGUACGGAACGAAACGGCUCUGGUUAAUACCCGGGGCUAAUGACGGUACCGUAAGAAUAAGCACCGGCUAACUACGUG